rnacentral:rRNA from 1 species
GAUCAGGAAUACCAGGCUCUCAAGGCUUGGUAAAUCCUAGAUCAUCCUCCUGGGAACUAUGUGCGUACUUUAAUGGACGGCAUAAGGAACGGGAUUUUUACUUUGAAUAAAUUAGAGUGUUUCAAGCAGGCUUACGCCCGAAUACUUCAGCUGAGAAUAAUAGAAUAGGACUGGGUCCAUUUUGUUGGUUUUUAUAGGAUUCAGUA